ensembl:lncRNA
GGCUCAUCCCAUCUUCCUGUUUAUUUCUGAUGAGAGCAAUGACCGCGUCUGCACGGCGCGUCCCAGCCCUGCGUGCUCACAGCCACAUCCAGCCGGGCCCAGCUGUCCCUCGAGGGGAUGCCACGUAUCCCCCCCAGCCAUUGGGAUCCAUUGGGAUCCAUUGGGGUCUGGUUUUCCUCCACUCUGCGUCUCCCCAGCACGAUGGCUGUGCUCAGCCCCAGUGGCUGUGCAAAGCUUCUGUGUGGAACGAGAUUUAAAGCAGCGCAGCAAAGAGGUGAUAGAAAAACCAAACUCUAUUAAAAACCCAUUUUCUGCAGGACCACGAAGCCUUUUGGUGCCGCUGUCCUGGCCCUGCUGGGGAGCUGCCUAUUGCUGUGGGAUGGGUGCAUGCUGGCAGCACCGAGGAUGUGCAGUGCUCGGCCCUGGAAACAAGGCUAUCCGUUUCAAUUAGAGCAAGCAGGAAAGCUGCUAUUAAGUGCUUCGUUAUUAUGGAAUCGCUUAUGAUGACACGGCUGUGGGCAUGCAGCUGCAUCAGCACCCCCCCUUCGCCCAGGCCCAAAUCCGCUGCACCUCCAGCGCAGGGCACGGUGUGCCCAGCUGUCCCCAGCACAGGGCAGUGAGCUGCAGAGACAGUGACGCACGUGGAACCCAUCCUCCACCACCACCAUCCCCGUGCCACCGUGGGAGCGCUGGGGACAGCGUGUCCCGUGCAAGCAAUCACGCUCAGCUCUGCUGUCAUUGCUGCUGCCUGAGCCCCAGCAAUGCUUAUGAAUAAAUGAAAGGAGAG